GCGCCAUUGGAUGAGCCGAAGUCGGAUUAGCUAGUUGGUGGGGUAAUGGCCUACCAAGGCGACGAUCCGUAGCUGGUCUGAGAGGACGACCAGCCACACUGGGACUGAGACACGGCCCAG
rnacentral:rRNA from 1 species